rnacentral:rRNA from 1 species
GAGCGGCGGACGGGUGAGUAAUGUCUGGGAAACUGCCUGAUGGAGGGGGAUAACUACUGGAAACGGUGGCUAAUACCGCAUAACGUCGCAAGACCAAAGUGGGGGACCUUCGGGCCUCACGCCAUCGGAUGUGCCCAGAUGGGAUUAGCUAGUAGGUGGGGUAAUGGCUCACCUAGGCGACGAUCCCUAGCUGGUCUGAGAGGAUGACCAGCCACACUGGAACUGAGACACGGUCCAGACUCCUACGGGAGGCAGCAGUGGGGAAUAUUGCACAAUGGGCGCAAGCCUGAUGCAGCCAUGCCGCGUGUGUGAAGAAGGCCUUCGGGUUGUAAAGCACUUUCAGCGAGGAGGAAGGCAUCAUACUUAAUACGUGUGGUGAUUGACGUUACUCGCAGAAGAAGCACCGGCUAACUCCGUGCCAGCAGCCGCGGUAAUACGGAGGGUGCAAGCGUUAAAUCGGAAUUACUGGGCGUAAAGCGCACGCAGGCGGUUUGUUAAGUCAGAUGUGAAAUCCCCGCGCUUAACGUGGGAACUGCAUUUGAAACUGGCA